UACGUAGGGGGCGAGCGUUGUCCGGAAUUACUGGGCGUAAAGGGUGCGUAGGCGGCGAUGCAAGUCCAUUGUGAAAAGCCCGGGCUUAACCUGGGAGGUGCAGUGGAAACUGUAUGGCUUGAGUGCAGGAGAGGAAAGUGGAAUUCCUAGUGUAGCGGUGAAAUGCGUAGAUAUUAGGAGGAACACCAGUGGCGAAGGCGACUUUCUGGACUGUAACUGACGCUGAGGCACGAAAGCGUGGGGAGCAAACAGGAUUAGAUACCCUGGUAGUCCACGCCGUAAACGAUGGAUACUAGGUGUAGGGGGUAUCGACCCCCCCUGUGCCGGAGUUAACACAAUAAGGAUCCCGCCUGGGGAGUACGGCCGCAAGGUUGAA
rnacentral:rRNA from 1 species